rnacentral:rRNA from 1 species
GAAACCCGGAUUAAUACCGCAUGACACUGCGACUACUUAAGUAGAUGCAGUUAAAUUUUCGGAGGUAAUAGAUGGGCAUGCGUAUGAUUAGUUAGUUGGUGAGGUAACGGCUCACCAAGACUGUGAUCAUUAGCGGGUCUGAGAGGAUGAUCCGCCACACUGGUACUGAGACACGGACCAGACUCCUACGGGAGGCAGCAGUGAGGAAUAUUGGUCAAUGGGGGCAACCCUGAACCAGCCAUGCCGCGUGCAGGAAGACGGCCUUCUGGGUUGUAAACUGCUUUUAUACAGGAGCAAAUAGUCCCUGCGGGGAAAGUUGAGAGUAUUGUAUGAAUAAGCACCGGCUAACUCCGUGCCAGCAGCCGCGGUAAUACGGAGGGUGCAAGCGUUGUCCGGAUUUAUUGGGUUUAAAGGGUGCGUAGGCGGUUUAUAAAGUCAGUGGUGAAAAGUCUUCGGCUCAACCGGAGGAUUGCCAUUGAACUUAUAACUUGAGUACAGUAGAGGUAGGCGGANUUAUGAUGUA